rnacentral:rRNA from 1 species
CAGUCGCCGCGGUAAUACAGAGGGUGCGAGCGUUAAUCGGAUUUACUGGGCGUAAAGCGUGCGUAGGCGGCUUCUUAAUUCGGAUGUGAAAUCCCUGAGCUUAACUUAGGAAUUGCAUUCGAUACUGGGAAGCUAGAGUAUGGGAGAGGAUGGUAGAAUUCCAGGUGUAGCGGUGAAAUGCGUAGAGAUCUGGAGGAAUACCGAUGGCGAAGGCAGCCAUCUGGCCUAAUACUGACGCUGAGGUACGAAAGCAUGGGGAGCAAACAGGAUUAGAUACCCGAGUAGUCCCUGUCUCUUAUAC